rnacentral:lncRNA from 1 species
ACAUUUGAUGCCAAAAUAUUUUCUAGAUUUAGACAGGAGUCAAUCGAUCUUCAUUUUCAGCCUGCAAAGAGAGUUCUAAGGUAUAACAAAGGAAAUACAGAGCUUGGAAUCUGGUUUAGGAGGUCUGAAAAUUAUGUUCUAAUAGGCUACACUGAUAGUGAUUGGGCCAGAUCAUGUGAUAUAUGAAGAGCACAUCAGGGUAUGUAUUCUAUCUAGUAUCAAGUCCAAUCUAUUGGCACUCGAUGAAAUAGAAAAUUGUGGCUUAAUCAACAGCUGAAGCAGAGUAUGUGGCUGCAUCUGAGGCUACAAACUAGGCAAUCUGGUUAAGGAAAGUCUUGAGGAUCUAAACCAUAAGAAAACUAAUGCAACUGUGAUUCAUUUUGAUAAUCAAUUUGCUGUUGCUAUGGUUAAAAACCCGGUAUUUCAUGGAAGGACAAAACAUAUCAAAAUAAGGUAUCAUGCAAUUAGAGAAGCUCAGGAGAACCUUGAAGUGAAACUUGUGCAUUGCAAUUCUGAGGUUCAAUUUGUAGACAUUCUCACGAAAAGUUUGUCCAAAGAAAGGUUUGAAACACUAAGGAAAUGCCUUGGUGUUUCCAACAAAAGUGUGAAGGAGGA